rnacentral:sRNA from 1 species
GCUGACUCUCUUUUCAGACUCAGCCCACUUGCACCCAAGUGAAUUAACAGCCUUGUUGCUCACACAAAGCCUGUUUAGGUGGUCUUCUAUAUGGACAUGCUUGACACUUGGUGCCAAAAUCUGGGCCAGGGGGACUCCUUCGUGAGACCGGCCCCCUGUCCUGGCCCUCACUCCGUGAAGAGAUCCACCUGCGACCUCGGGUCCUCAGACCAGCCCAAGGAACAUCUCACCAAUUUCAAAUCGGGGUCCCUGGAGCUCUGGCUCAAAGCUCUCUGGCUGACUUCUUCCCAGAUCUCCUCGGCUUAGUGGCUGAAGACUGAUGCUGCCCGAUCGCCUCAGAAGCCCCCUGGACCAUCACAGAUGCCGAGCUUCGGGUAACUCUUACGGUGGAGGGACCCUCUCCAUUGGGUUCACCAUUCCAGAAUAAAGCCAUGCCCAUCAGACAGCCAGCUUGAUCUCUCCUCUUCCUCCUGGAAGCCACAAGAUUAGGCCGAGAGCCGAUCAGACAAACAACCUACAACCCUUAAGCUCCUGGCAGCGCCCAGCCAAGGCCAUGCUUCCAUGCAACACUCCUUCCAAAUGGCCAUCCCAGCAUGCUUCCAAGCAGGCUUCAUCCGUUCCUCUGGACCCUCAUCUCUUAAGACCUGCCGCCUAUAAAAAGGAUUAUAUCUUGAGACCCUAUCCUCUAAAAUUUUUUCCACACCCAAAACAAAAAAUCUCUGGGUCAAAAGUCUAAAACGCUUAGGCUGGCAACCAUCAGAUCCUUGCCCAUGGUGUCCUCAAGCCUACUCUCAUGAAAUGGACAACAGUACACGCAUAUGGGGCCAGUUCCACAUAUUUGGCAACCAGACCAGCAUCCAGGACAACACAAAGUAUGUUGUUUGUUGUUAGAGGGCUUGGGACAUUUCACUCUUUGCCAGCCUCAGCUUAAUCCAGGAGACAAAGAUUAUUUUCCUUAUUAUCUCUUCUGCAUAGGAUCUGCAAUCAGAACUAUUGAACUUCUCCAUUCAGACCGCCACUCACACCUAUGGGAAAAGGGUAAUGUAUCAUCGGCUUAGCAACAGGGAAUACUAUUCGUAUGAUGGAAAAUGGGGACAAAAGGCUUUGGUACAUAAAACAUUAUUCCUUCCUUGGCCUAAAAACUCAUCGCCACCUACAUUAAAGCUAAUAUGCC